rnacentral:rRNA from 1 species
UACAGAGGUCUCAAGCGUUGUUCGGAUUCAUUGGGCGUAAAGGGUGCGUAGGCGGCGCGGUAAGUCGGGUGUGAAAUCUUGGAGCUUAACUCCGAAACUGCAUUCGAUACUGCCGUGCUUGAGGACUGGAGAGGAGACUGGAAUUUACGGUGUAGCGGUGAAAUGCGUAGAUAUCGGGAGGAACACCAGUGGCGAAGGCGGCUCGCUGGGCCGGUCCUGACACUGAGGCGCGAAGGCGUGGGGAGCGAACGGG